AUUGAACGCUGGCGGCAUGCCUUACACAUGCAAGUCGAACGGCAGCACGGGAGCAAUCCUGGUGGCGAGUGGCGAACGGGUGAGUAAUAUAUCGGAACGUGCCCAGUCGUGGGGGAUAACGCAGCGAAAGCUGUGCUGAUACCGCAUACGAUCUAAGGAUGAAAGCGGGGGAUCGCAAGACCUCGCGCGAUUGGAGCGGCCGAUAUCAGAUUAGCUAGUUGGUGGGGUAAAGGCCCACCAAGGCGACGAUCUGUAGCGGGUCUGAGAGGACGACCAGCCACACUGGAACUGAGACACGGUCCAGACUCCUACGGGAGGCAGCAGUGGGGAAUUUUGGACAAUGGGCGCAAGCCUGAUCCAGCAAUGCCGCGUGCAGGAUGAAGGCCUUCGGGUUGUAAACUGCUUUUGUACGGAACGAAACGGCCCUUUCUAAUACAGGGGGCUAAUGACGGUACCGUAAGAAUAAGCACCGGCUAACUACGUGCCAGCAGCCGCCGUAA
rnacentral:rRNA from 1 species